GGAGAAUGACCAACAAAUUUCGCCACUUCCUCUAACUUGGAGCAAGCUCUCACAUGUGAUGUUGACUAAGAAAAGCAAAUCACAGAGGAAGAUAUAGAGCAUAAACACGCUUCUUUGAAAGUCCAGCUCUGGGCCCUCCUCCACAUGAACCUUCUGCGAAGAGCUGGUUCAGAAAACACCUCAAAUGCGUUGAGCUAUCUAAAAGGACCCAGAAGAAGAUCUAUACAAAGAUAUUACAAAGGAAAGGGAAAGAAGAAGAAAGACAAUUAACCAAGAAUGCUCAGAAAAACCUUGCUACAAGGCCAGCAAAAGUGAAGACCAACACUUUGCACUGACAUUUAAUGAAGUGGUUGCCUCUAAAAACAAGACACAAGUGUGGAGAUCCAAGAGCUCAGAGAUUUGAUGGCCUCGACAAAAGUGAGCGUGGAAACUGCAACCUCGCCCUGCCCCCUGCCUGCAGAUCAGGGAGGAACAAGAAUGUUCUGUGGGACUAAAUCUGACUUGGGAGAUUUUCUUGGGGAUCUCCCCAGUCUCCCAUAUAUCAUCAUAGUGGAACCACUUAAGCCAUUUCAAAUGCUAUCUAUUUCAUUUUUAAUUCACUCAGCCCCUGUCUUUGAGAACUUCCUGUGUGCCAGGUGCUGUGCCAGUGCGUGUUUGUGGGGAGGGCAUGUGCCUCCUCAUCCGCCAGACCCUGAGCCUCCCCGAUGCUCCUGAUGCUGUGAGUGCGAGACCUGUACACUGAAACCACCACACUGCCGAGGGAACCCAGUGAAGACUGAACAAAUGGAAAGCGAGGCCGUGUUCAUGGACUGGACAACGCAGUAUUAUCAAGAAAUUGGCAAGCUUAUCCCUGAGGGCAAAAAUAGCCAAAAGAAUUUUGAAAAAGAAUGAAAUUGGAGGACUUACAUUUGUCGACUUCAAAACUUAGAAUAAAGCUUUGGCAAAAAACAAACAAAAAACAGUGUAGUACUGGCAUACGGGCCAACAUAUACAUCAAUGGGACAGACUUGAGAAUGUAGAAAUAAACCCUUACAUUUAUGGUUAUUUGAUUCUCAACAAAAAUGUCAAAGCAAUUCAGUGGAGGGAAAGGAGAGUCAUUUCAACAAGUGGUGCCAGGACAGAGUAGAAUGGUGUCUGUCUGCGGAGGAAUGGGCCAGGGCUGGGAAUGGGGUGAUGGAAACAUUCUAAACCUGGAAUGUGGUGAUGAUUGCUCAGCUCUAUAAAUUAACUAUAAAUCAUUGAAUUUACACCUAAAAUGGGUGAAUUUUAUGGGGGAGGGAGAGGUAGGCACCUGAGUCCAGAAGCAGGCACAGGUGUGCUGAGGUGGGAGGGUCUGUGGUGGGGCAGGCUGGGUCUGCACCUGCUUUGCCACCUCCUCACUGAGCCUUUCAAAGCCUUGCCUCUUCAUUUCGUAAACUGGGAUGAUGAGGCUUGCAGGCAGGCUGGGAGGGUGGAAGGCACACGUGCAAGG
rnacentral:lncRNA from 1 species